UCGAGAAUCUUUCGCAAUGGGCGAAAGCCUGACGGAGCGACGUCGUGUGAGCGAAGAAGGCCUUCGGGUUGUAAAGCUCUUUCGCUAGGGAACAAGAGAGGGAAGCGAAUAACUUCCUCAUUUGAGGGUACCUGGUAAAGAAGCACCGGCUAACUCCGUGCCAGCAGCUGCGGUAAUACGGAGGGUGCAAGCAUUAAUCGGAAUUAUUGGGCGUAAAGGGCGUGUAGGCGGAUUUGUAAGUCAGAUGUGAAAUACCGAGGCUCAACCUCGGUGCUGCAUUUGAAACUACAAAUCUAGAGGAUUGACGGAGAAAACGGAAUUCCACGUGUAGCGGUGAAAUGCGUGGAUAUGUGGAAGAACACCUGUGGCGAAAGCGGUUUUCUAGUUUAUUCCUGACGCUGAGGCGCGAGAGCAAGGGGAGCAAACAGGAUUAGAUACCCCCGUAGUCC
rnacentral:rRNA from 1 species